rnacentral:rRNA from 1 species
AUUGAACGCUGGCGGCAGGCCUAACACAUGCCAGUCGAGCGAGCGGCGGACGGGUGAGUAAUGUAUGGGGAUCUGCCCGAUAGAGGGGGAUAACUACUGGAAACGGUCGCUAAUACCGCAUACUAUCCGAUGAACCCAUACGGGAUUAGCGAGUAGGUGGGGUAAAGGCUCACCUCGGCGACGAUCCCUAGCUGGUCUGAGAGGAUGAUGAGACACAUGGGGAAUGGGAAACGGCCCAGAUCCUGACGGGAGGCAGAAGGGGGGAAUAUUGGACAAUGGGCGCAAGCCUGAUGAAGCCAUGCCGCGGGUAUGAAGAAGGCCUUCGGGUUGUAAAGUAAAUUCAGCGGGGAGGCGUUACCCGCAGAAGAAGCACCGGCUAACUCCGUGCCAGCAGCCGCGGUAAUAC